CAGCAGUGCCAAAGUGGGCAGGCGGACCGAGGCAAACACAGCACAGGGCAGAGCAGAGGGCGAUCCAAAGGCUGGCGAAUUGAUUAUGUAGCUGUGUGUGAGCAGACGUCCCUCUGUCACCCUGUGUACGGACAGACGCACUCACGCCAGUAGGAGGGGAUUGUGGGAAGGGGGUGUAGCUCUCAGAGGGUGUGCUCUACUCCUCUCUUUUCCCUUCUUCCCGCCAUCACGGCCCUCUUCUCCUCCAGUCCUCCGGCCCAGCCCGCCGCUCACAUACAGGCUCCAGGAGUAUUACCUUUGAGGAUCUUUGCUGCUGAAGCAACAUGGAUGCUGUCCUUGGGGCUGAGGUAGUAGAUUGAAUAGUUGUGGGGUUGUGUAACCUCUUUUUGAGAUAACUAUACAAUCUACUGUCUUUCCCAAGGAGACAGCUGAGUCAGCCACUCGCCGACUGUCAUCUCCAGAUGGGCAAUCAUGCUGUCCAAUCAAAACAUAAGCUUGCAGCAAAUGAAAAUAAUGCAUUAUGACAAUUUUUUUUUUUUUUUUUUUUUGCUAGAGCAGGUAAAUUAGCUGUCAUGUUCCCAAACAGGUGAACGUGUGGUGUGCUUGAUUUGGGCUCUGUCAGGGUGAGGUAGUAGGUUGUAUAGUUUGGUGGGUGGGACUGCACCCUGCUCAGGUGAUAACUAUACAGUCUAUUG